rnacentral:rRNA from 1 species
AGCAGCCGCGGUAAUUCCAGCUCCAAUAGCGUAUAUUAAAGUUGUUGCAGUUAAAAAGCUCGUAGUUGAAUUUCGGGGUUAGUAGGUUGGUCAUGCCUCUGGUAUGUACUGGUCUCACUGAUUCCUCCUUCCUGAUGAACCGUAAUGCCAUUAAUUUGGUGUUGCGGGGAAUUUGGACUGUUACUUUGAAAAAAUUAGAGUGUUUAAAGCAAGCUAACGCUUGAAUACAUUAGCAUGGAAUAAUGAAAUAGGACGCUCGAUCCUAUUUUGUUGGUUUCUAGGAUUGACGUAAUGAUUAAUAGGGAUAGUUGGGGGCAUUAGUAUUCAAUUGUCAGAGGUGAAAUUCUUGGAUUUAUUGAAGACUAACUACUGCGAAAGCAUUUGCCAAGGAUGUUUUCAUUAAUCAAGAACGGAAGUUAGGGGAUCGAAGACGAUCAGAUACCGUCGUAGUCUUAACCAUAAACUAUGCCGACUAGGGAUCGGAUGAUGUUAAUUUUUAAUGACUCAUUCGGCGCCUUAA